rnacentral:rRNA from 1 species
UCCAGACUCCUACGGGAGGCAGCAGUGGGGGAUAUUGCACAAUGGGGGAAACCCUGAUGCAGCAACGCCGCGUGAGUGAAGAAGUAUUUCGGUAUGUAAAGCUCUAUCAGCAGGGAAGAGAAUGACGGUACCUGACUAAGAAGCCCCGGCUAACUACGUGCCAGCAGCCGCGGUAAUACGUAGGGGGCGAGCGUUAUCCGGAUUUACUGGGUGUAAAGGGAGCGUAGACGGCUGGUCAAGUCUGAAGUGAAAGCCCGGGGCUUAACCCCGGAACGGCUUUGGAAACUGAGCAGCUAGAGUGCUGGAGAGGUAAGCGGAAUUCCUAGUGUAGCGGUGAAAUGCGUAGAUAUUAGGAGGAACACCAGUGGCGAAGGCGGCUUACUGGACAGUAACUGACGUUGAGGCUCGAAAGCGUGGGGAGCAAACAGGAUUAGAUACCCCCGUAAU